rnacentral:SRP_RNA from 1 species
CCGUGCUAGAUGGGGAGUUGGCGGUGCCCUGUAACCCGCAAUCCGCCAUAGCGGGGUUGAACUCCUAUUUGAGGUAGGAACAUGUGAGGUCUGCCUUAUGAAAGCAGUGUUGAAAAUUGGGUCCUACGCAAUGGAAACCUACGAAAUUGGUCAGGUCUGGAAGGAAGCAGCCAUAAGUAGUGAUUUCGAUGUGCCGUGGGGCAGCCUAAUUAGAGCUAGCUUCCAUAAGUAACGCUUGGUUGUUUCUAUCAAUGAUAGGUGCACGG